rnacentral:rRNA from 1 species
UACGGAGGGUGCAAGCGUUGUCCGGAAUCACUGGGCGUAAAGGGCGCGUAGGCGGCCCGGUAAGUCGGGGGUGAAAUCCUGCGGCUUAACCGCAGGGCUGCCUUCUAAACUGUCGGGCUCGAGCACGGUAGAGGCAGAUGGAAUUCCCGGUGUAGCGGUGGAAUGCGUAGAGAUCGGGAAGAACAUCAGUGGCGAAGGCGGUCUGCUGGGCCGUUGCUGACGCUGAGGCGCGACAGCGUGGGGAGCAAACAGG